UACCAGCACCCCGAGUGGUCGGGACGUUUAUUGGGCCUAAAGCAUCCGUAGCCGGUCAUGCAAGUCCUCCGUUAAAUCCACCUGCUUAACAGAUGGGCUGCGGAGGAUACUACAAGGCUAGGAGGCGGAAGAGGCAAGCGGUACUCAGUGGGUAGGGGUAAAAUCCUCUGAUCCAUUGAAGACCACCAGUGGCGAAGGCGGCUUGCCAAUACGCGCUCGACGGUGAGGGAUGAAAGCUGGGGGAGCAAACCGG
rnacentral:rRNA from 1 species